AUUGAACGCUGGCGGCAGGCCUAACACAUGCAAGUCGGGCGAGCGGCGGACGGGUGAGUAAUGUAUGGGACUCUGCCUGCUGGCGGGGGAUAACUACUGGAAACGGUAGCUAAUACCGCAUACCAUCAGAUGAACCCCUAUGGGAUUAGCUUGUAGGUGAGGUAACGGCUCCCCUAGGCGACGAGCCCUAGCUGGUCUGCGAGGAUGAUUGGGCAAACUGGGACUGAGAAACGGAGCAAGCGCCUACGGUAGGAAGGAGGGGGGAAUAGUGGAAUAUGGGCGCAAGCGUGAUGGAGCCAUGCCGCGUGUAUGAAGAAGGGCUUAGGGUUUUAAAGUAGUUUCAGCGGGGAGGGGGUACCCGCAGAAGAAGCACCGGCUAACUCCGUGCCAGCAGCCGCGGUAAUUC
rnacentral:rRNA from 1 species